GAAGUGUUUACAAAAAUGUAGUGAUGGCCUAAACUGCGAUUUUCCGAUAUCAGUGAUAUCUGUGAAUGCUACUUUUCAGUAUCUGUUGUUCUUAACUCUGAUUUGUCGCAGUUAAGAGUCGCAGUUAAGGCCCCUAGGUCGCGUAUCCCUCCGCCACUGCUAUUUCCGCGAUUUCUGCGACUUCUGCUACUUCCGCGAUUUCUGCGACUUCUGCUACUUCUGCGAUUUCUGUGACUCCUGCGAUUUCUGCGACUUACCACCACAUGAAAAAGUUACAUCUGUCCACACAGAAAAUUGCAUCUCAACAAACCUAUCAUUGGUACCCGAACUACAUUUCAGUCACUCGGUAAAGUGAUAACUCAAAAUAUCAUUGUCAACAGAUCUGGAGAAAUUGCCACUGCGUCUUUAGACCGUUUUCGCCAGACGAGAGACCCAGUUCUGACUCUGAUUACUGGUUGCUGUAUGUAUCUAUCCACAUCAAGGCUGUUGAGAGAGACUCGUGAAGAUUCAAGACAGCUCUUAGAAGAUUUUGCAGUAUAAAAGUGACAUAAUUGUGAAAUAAGUGUGCAGAUGAGUGAUUAAACUGUGUUUUAUUGAAGUUGUUGUGCGAUUUUAAAGGAAUAAUAAAUGUUAAA